rnacentral:lncRNA from 1 species
UUUUUUUUUUUUUUUUUUGCCACUCAUUCCUCUAACCCAUCUACCUCCAAGAGAUUGAUUUCUAAAUCUCCCACAAUCUCUUCCCUGUUAAAGAUCAGAUUAGCAACAGACCUUGUUCUGUUUGAUUCCUCCAACGUUCUAAGGGAGGAAGUUCUCUCCAGUGUAGACCAAAAGUCGACGUGGUGGUCUGUGGUCAGCUGAAUUGUUUUUCCAGAAUGUAACAGGAGUUUAAUGCCCCAUCAGAACCAGAUGUAAGUGAAAGCUUUGGUGAGUUGACCAAAAAAGGUUUCCUCGACCUCUUCAUCAUGUGGGCAUCUAUAAAUAGACUCCACCGCGAUGUUGCCCUCAAUCUUAAUCUCCCUUGCCUUAGCACGGUCUGGUUAAUGGCUUCAGGUUUCCUGAGAGAUUUUAUUCAGCGGAUCGUGGUGUUUAUCCGCACGGAUGUAGUGUUCCCUGCCAUGAUGAUAUAAUGUGAAAAUGUGAGAGAUUUUUUGCCCUGUAAGGAAAGAACUGAAUUUCUCAUUAAGUUGAAGAAAUUUUUAUGGUCAUUGAAUUAUUAAGCUCUGGUCUUUUCCGAAAGCUACCAGAGGGAAGGGAAGGAAAAAAACAAAUAAAAAGUGGUGUUUUUUUUGUGCAAAGUUUACAUUUUUUUUUCCAGGAACAAGAAGGAUGCUGAUAAAACCCCAGAUGCUUUGCUCAUCUGUGUCUGCUCCACACGUCUUUCUCCUAGACGGCGGCACCUCCUUUCCAUCCUGGCUUGCAGGGGCUUCGUUUCAGAUGGGCCGUGAUUCACAUUUUCUUACAGAACUUCGAGCUCUUGAAAGCCCUGGUAGAGAUUGUUAUCAUUUCCUGCUUUCGCCUGGCUCCCGAGCCGUGGUGGCUGCAUUUCUUUGGUCCUGUUUUUUAUGAGCCUCACCCUUUGAGUACCAAUAAAGGCUGCAGUAAAGGGACUGAUCCAGACCCAGAUAACUGCCUGGCCAGAACAAAGUGCCCCAGCCUGAGCACCACCACGAUAAAUGGAGCUACACUGAAGCAAAAAGUUCCAGAGGGCGGGGAGGAGAGGUGCCGCAGGAGAGAGCGGGACUCUUAAUCUUUUGGAACUAAAAAUUAACUGUUACUUCCACCACUUCAAUUUGGAGCCUGUUUGGAGGGGCAGUUGACAUACACUUUCAUACAAAUUUGUUGAGCUGUAUUUUCCUAUAUUUCCCUUAUGCUCUCCUCAGUCAUAACACUGCUAAAAUGUCCUUUGCGUAAUUUAAAAAGUGCCAAUGAAAUGUUUUUGAAGUACGCAGGGGGAGAAGUGAAAAGAAGAUGUCCACAGAACAGGAUGCUCCUUAUCCUGGCCCCCACCUGUCAUCAGGGGCACUGGGAACAGUCUCUCUUUUUCCUAGGAGCAGCAAUCACUUAAACUAAUUUACAAAGUAAGCUGAUUUCUGCCUCCUAAUAAUUACUGAAUGCUUAACACUACAGGAAACAGUCUAGGUCUACAUUACUUACAAGGGAUGUUUCAAAAAGUAGUCCUAAAAAUCAUUCAAUCACCAAGAAAUUGUCCUUCAUAUAAAUGUGUCAGGAGCAGUAUGCAUUAACAUUUUUAGCAAAUAUUUCAGUUUUAUGUCUAAUGUAUAUUCAGUUGCUUCUGAAAAAUAGAUUAUAAGCAAGCAGAUGGGGAAAUAAAAAGUUUAUUUUUCCAAAUGGAAUUUAAGAGGAUCAAUUGUAUUUAGAAUCAGUUGUAUUAGCAGCAUAGUAAGAGGUAUCUUUCUCAGAGCUGUGAGUAUUGUUACAACCUGGGAUUUGUUUCCCGUACAUCCAGAUACAGAUCAUUAUGUAAAUAAAAGAAAUGCCUUUUCAAUAUCCAAAAGUUUUUUUUUUUUUCUUUUGGAAGCACAGCUAUUUAUGUUUUGUUGAUAAGGGAACAUUAAAUCUUUAUCCCAAAUUUUACUCAUGAUACUCAAACUGCUCCCACUCAUUUUAGGUUGAGACUUUUCCAAGCCAGGAUUGGGCUGAUGCCGGGGACUUCCUCUGAGCAAGAGGGUGCGUGCCACAGAUGACAAAGGCAGGAGCUGCUCAGUCCAAACCCGGGUCCCCCAACCAUCGUCUAGCGGACGUUUAAUGUCAGGCAAGUAACACAGCUUCCCUCUCGUGUUUUCCUGUAAAAUGGAGCUAAAUAUAGUCCCUACCUUAUGGGUUCUUGUGAGGGUUAAGUGAGUUAAUGUGGAAAAAUCACUCAGGACAGCAAUUGGUUACUGGUAUCAUGUAAGGGGAAACAUGGACUUGCUCAGAUAACACCAACGAUUGACCCUUUCCUGCUGGGUAUGCCCAGACAGUAAAACUCCUCUGUGCUUCAAAACGUAAAAA